rnacentral:rRNA from 1 species
AUUGAACGCUGGCGGCAGGCCUAACACAUGCAAGUCGAACGAGUGGCGGACGGGUGAGUAAUGCUUGGGAAACUAGCUUAUGGAGGGGGAUAACUACGGGAAACUGUAGCUAAUACCGCAUACCAUCGGAUGAGCCCAAGUGGGAUUAGGUAGUGGGUGGGGUAACGGCUCACCUAGGCGACGAUCCCUAGCUGGUCUGAUAGGAUGACCAGCCACACUGGGACUGAGACACGGUCCAGACUCCUACGGGAGGCAGCAGUGGGGAAUAUUGCGCAAUGGGCGCAACCCUGACGCAGCCAUGCCGCGUGAAUGAAGAAGGCCUUCGGGUUGUAAAGUUCUUUCGGCAGCGAGGCGUUAACUACAGAAGAAGCACCGGCUAACUCCGUGCCAGCAGCCGCGGUAAUAC